rnacentral:rRNA from 1 species
UACGGAGGAUGCGAGCGUUACCCGGAUUUAUUGGGUUUAAAGGGUGCGUAGGCGGAUCGUUAAGUCAGUGGUCAAAUUGAGGGGCUCAACCCCUUCCCGCCAUUGAAACUGGCGAUCUUGAGUGGAAGAGAAGUAUGCGGAAUGCGUGGUGUAGCGGUGAAAUGCAUAGAUAUCACGCAGAACCCCGAUUGCGAAGGCAGCAUGCCGGCUUCCUACUGACGCUGAAGCACGAAAGCGUGGGGAUCGAACAGG